GUCUACAGCCAUAACACCCUGAACGUGCCCCAUCUCGUCUGAUCUAAGAAGCUAAGCAGGGUCAAGCUUGGUUAGUACAUGGGUAGGAGACCACCUGGGAAUACCAAGUGCUAUAGAAA
rnacentral:rRNA from 1 species